GUGCCAGCAGCCGCGGUAAUACGUAGGGUGCGAGCGUUGUCCGGAUUUAUUGGGCGUAAAGAGCUCGUAGGCGGUUUGUCGCGUCGGCCGUGAAAUCUCCACGCUUAACGUGGAGCGUGCGGUCGAUACGGGCAGACUUGAGUUCGGUAGGGGAGACUGGAAUUCCUGGUGUAGCGGUGAAAUGCGCAGAUAUCAGGAGGAACACCGGUGGCGAAGGCGGGUCUCUGGGCCGAUACUGACGCUGAGGAGCGAAAGCGUGGGGAGCGAACAGGAUUAGAUACCCUGGUAGUCC
rnacentral:rRNA from 1 species